rnacentral:rRNA from 1 species
UCGUCCGCCCAAGGAUGGGUCUGCGGCCUAUCAGGUAGUAGUGGGUGUAAUGUACCUACUAGCCAACAACGGGUACGGGUUGUGAGAGCAAGAGCCCGGAGAUGGAUUCUGAGACAUGAAUCCAGGCCCUACGGGGCGCAGCAGGCGCGAAAACUUUACAAUGCGGGAAACCGUGAUAAGGGAACACCGAGUGCCAGCAUCAUAUGCUGGCUGUCCAGAUGUGUAAACUACAUCUGUUAGCAAGGGCCGGGCAAGACCGGUGCCAGCCGCCGCGGUAACACCGGCGGCCCGAGUGGUGACCGUUAUUAUUGGGUCUAAAGGGUCCGUAGCCGGUUUGGUCAGUCCUCCGGGAAAUCUGAUAGCUUAACUGUUAGGCUUUCGGGGGAUACUGCCAGGCUUGGAACCGGGAGAGGUAAGAGGUACUACAGGGGUAGGAGUGAAAUCUUGUAAUCCCUGUGAGACCACCUGUGGCGAAGGCGUCUUACCAGAACGGGUUCGACGGUGAGGGACGAAAGCUGGGGGCACGAACCGGAUUAGAUACCCGGGUAGUCCCAGCCGUAAACUAUGCUCGCUAGGUGUCAGGCAUGGCGCGACCGUGUCUGGUGCCGCAGGGAAGCCGUGAAGCGAGCCACCUGGGAAGUACGGCCGUAAGGCUGAAACUUAAAGGAAUUGGCGGG